GACUAAUGUCCUUGCUUUAACACUGGCUGAAGGACAUAUCCCUUUACUGAUGUUUCCAACCUGAAGCUGCACACAAGGAAAGCGCUCCCCUAGCUCGCACAAGAUGCUGCCAGACCUGCUGAGAUUCUCCAGCAUUUUCUGUUUUUGUUUGAAGCUGAUCUCUUGUAGCAGUGUGAUCUACUCUCCAACAGUCAAGUAGCUGAGAAACAAGACAUCGUGCUUUAGUGCCCACCUUUGCAUUCGGUGGCCUUGUAUAAGCAUCAAGGAAUGGAGGCAGCAUGUUAUCGUGCAGGAUUUUCACCCAACAGGAGGGAAUGGUGAUAAGGUUCCAACUCAGGAUGGUGUAUUAUUUGGAGGGGAACUUACAGAUGGUGGUGUUUCCAUGCAUCUUCUGUUCCUCAUGCUCCUAAUUGGUAGAAGUCA